rnacentral:rRNA from 1 species
GAUGAACGCUGGCGGCGUGCUUAACACAUGCAAGUCGAACGAUGAAGCCCAGCUUGCUGGGUGGAUUAGUGGCGAACGGGUGAGUAACACGUGAGUAACCUGCCCUUAACUCUGGGAUAAGCCUGGGAAACUGGGUCUAAUACCGGAUAGGAGCGUCCACCGCAUGGUGGGUGUUGGAAAGAUUUAUCGGUUUUGGAUGGACUCGCGGCCUAUCAGCUUGUUGGAGAGGUAAUGGCUCACGAAGGCGACGACGGGUAGCCGGCCUGAGAGGGUGACCGGCCACACUGGGACUGAGACACGGCCCAGACUCCUACGGGAGGCAGCAGUGGGGAAUAUUGCACAAUGGGCGCAAGCCUGAUGCAGCGACGCCGCGUGAGGGAUGACGGCCUUCGGGUUGUAAACCUCUUUCAGUAGGGAAGAAGCGAAAGUGACGGUACCUGCAGAAGAAGCACCGGCUAACUACGUG